ensembl:snRNA U6 U6 spliceosomal RNA
GUGCUCACUUUGGUAGCACAUAUACUAAAACUGGAAUGAUAUAGAGAGGAUUAGUAUGGGCCAUGUGCAAGGAUGAUAUGCAAAUUUGUGCAGCGCUCCAUAUUUUU